UAGAAAGAGGAGCUCCAGUCCAAUUGAGACUGGCCAGCCAUCCUCAGCUGUGGGCACAGUGCCUGGUCACGGUGGUCACUCAGCCCUCUCUGUGGCCUGAGCAGGAGGAAGGGGCCGGGACAACUGGCUUUGGUAGCCUGAUGUGCCCUCCUUCUUGUCCCAGGUGGUGAAGGCAUGCAACGAGGGCGUCAGGAAAAUGAGCCGCACGGAACAGAUGAUCAGCAUUCAGAAGAAGAUGGAGUUCAAGAUCAAGUCAGUGCCCAUCAUCUCCCACUCACGCUGGCUGCUGAAGCAGGGUGAGCUGCAGCAGAUGUCAGGCCCCAAGACCUCUCGGACCCUGAGGACCAAGAAGCUCUUCCACGAAAUUUACCUCUUCCUGUUCAACGACCUACUGGUGAUCUGCCGGCAGAUUCCGGGAGACAAGUACCAGGUAUUUGACUCAGCUCCGCGGGGACUGCUGCGCGUGGAGGAGCUGGAGGACCAGGGCCAGACGCUGGCCAACGUGUUCAUCCUGCGGCUGCUGGAGAACGCAGAUGACCGGGAGGCCACCUACAUGCUAAAGGCGUCCUCUCAGAGCGAGAUGAAG
rnacentral:sRNA from 1 species